GCGACCGUAACUCAAUUGGCAAGAGUAGCCGACUUUUAAUCGGCAAGUUAUGGGUUCAAGCCCCAUCGGUCGCA
rnacentral:tRNA from 1 species